UAUAGGCAUCACAAAAGAAGGUUAUGCCUUAGUUUUGUGCAUUAAUUAAAUGCAUUUCUUCUUCUUCUUAUUAUUAUUAUUAUUAUUAUUAUGAAUUUAUAAUGCAGAUGAAAGCUUAUUAUAACCCCAUUUUAGCUUUCCUUUGGAAAGGCUAGCCUCACGAGCAGCAGUAAACUUGGCAAUGAGCUUGUCCCUAGGUGGCCAGCUUUCUUGGAUUGUUGGGAUAUCGGAGAAUUCCUGCAUCCAAGCAGUUAAUAGUGGGAAUUUUUGCUGGUUUAUUAGUUUUGCACCACUUAUCUCUUCAUAAAUUUCAAGAUAAUAAGCAAGCCACCCUAAUGCAAGAUCUACUAUUCCAAUUUUCUCCCCUCCAAAGAAUUUCUUUCCCUUUAACUCUUCCUCUAAAUAUUUCAAAGUUUGCUCCGCUACAUGUAUUACUUCUUCUUGUUCUUUGCCUUGUGUCAAAAGAACUCCAAAGCUUAUUGACUGUAACACCUUUAUCAAGUUAAAAAUAAUCAAGAAUAUAUAUAUAGAUUGGAUACAUAAAUUAAUCCCUAAUCUUUAUUAGCGAUGAUAGCUAAUUACAAAUAACUUGUCUUCACCAAAUCUGACCCAGAACCGAGCCAUGGCUUUCGAAAGGUCACUCUUGAUUGAAAUAAUCAUGUGAAAAUUUAAGUAUAACCCUUACAAGUGCAAGUUUUAUUGUUCAUUUGUCCAAAAUUAUUCGAGUAAUAGAUUUUAACUAUACAACAUAUGAAAAAUUAAUUAUUUUUAACUAUACAACAUAUGAAAAAUUAAUUAUACAACCUUAAUUAAACACAAUCUAAUUAAAUACAAUAAAUUGAACUCAUACGUGAUAAAAAUCCCAAUGGAGAUAAUCAGGAGGAUGGACUUCCUCGCGUGGUCACAAAAAAAAUUAACACAGGGAUUGCACAGAAGUGAGGAAAUUAGCAGAAUCUCUAGUGCUUUUAUAGAGAAGAGAGAUUGCCAUUGAGUUCAUUUGACAAUAACCUGGUGCUCAAUUGGCCACAAUUUCCCAGUAGAAUUUUGAAAUAUGACCUCCGACGUUUUUCUCCUAAAACCAUAAAGGCAAUAAUCAAAACUCCCACACAAGCUCAGAUGGCACUUAAUCUGCAGGUCGAAGCUAAAGAGAAGAAGCCUACAUUGUUCUCUGUGAGAUUAGAGAACUCUAUGUCUGACUAUUAAGGAUUAAGACUUCUAGCUUGAGAAACGAUCCCUACAAUACCUUUAGGUUGUUGGGUUAGAGAUGAGAGCUUAGGUGAGGGAUGAAAGAUUAAGGAGAUGAUAAGGAAACGAAAUAAGAAUUGAAAUUAAAAAAGAAAAUAAAGCUAUUAAAUUUCUUAUUUAUUUUAAAAUAAAUAACUUUUUCUCAUAAAUACUUAAUAGCGUGCUCAAUUUGGUGCCUUUUAUUUACUUAUCAGUGGCGAAAACAUCACCAUGUGAGAUGUAAAUUGCUUUUGUCAUUAUUCUGAAAUUCUAAUUUACUUUUAGUGGUGAUUUUUUUUUGCCACUAAAAAUUUGCCACAAAAGGAUCAAUUUUUUGUAGUGUUCUAAGUAUCUUGAGCAACAAUGGAGUUUGGUUCCAUGUCUCAUCCAAGUAUUCAAGAAUGACAAGAGAUUCACAGAUGGGGUUUUCCAUUGUGAACAAGCACAGGAAUCUUCUUAUGAACAGGAUUAUAUUGCAAAAGUGAAGGGCUCUUCUUGGUGAGAUCUUCAUAUAUUUCUUCAUGCUCAAUGCCUUUCAGUUUUAGUGCCCAAACCACCCUUAAUACAUAUAGACUUGACCAUGCCCUCAACACCUCCUCUUCUUCUCCCAUGGCUAAUUUCAUAACACCAACUACUUCUCAGCUAGGCUAACCCACUCCCUUCUUUAAAACCAAUUCCCUGCACUCCGCUCCUUUAAAUUUGUAAAAAAUUUACCAUCAAAUUCUUGAAUUUAAAAAAAAAAAAAAGAAAUAGUCUAUACCUAUUUCAAAAUCACUCAAGUCCUUUAUUUUGUAAAAUCAAACUCUUCAAUAAUUUUUUAAAUAAGUCGUUAAUCAAUUUAUUCUAACUUUAAUCAAAGAAGGUAAAUAGUAUGAGUAUUUAAAAUUAUAGAAACUAAAUAAUACGUAUAAUUAAAAUUAGCCUUAUUGAAUAAAAAUUUCAAACGUUUACCACUUUUCACAUUUAUAUUCUAACUUUAAAUUUUUGGACAAUAAAAUUAAUCAUUUCACAUUUGCUUCAAUUUUAACUAUUUACCUUAAUUAAUUUUGAUAAAAAAACAUUUUCGUACACUAUAAUGCCGUAUAAGAUUAUUUGUUAAAAGACUUGUUGAAUUUUUUCAAACCCUUACGUUAAUUUAUAUUUAUAUUCAAAAUUUUAAAAUUUAGAUAAUAAAAUUAAAUUUUUUUUAAUUUAUCACAAUUAUAACUAAGAGAAUUAAAUUGAAUCUGUUAAUGAUAAAUUAUAAUAUAGUUCUUAAAGUUUUAUUUGAGUAAUAAAAUAAUUCUUAAAAUACAUAUUUUUAUAUCAAUAAUAUCUUUUUUUAUUAAUCUUAUUAUUCACUUUUUAUUUUCAUUUUUAUACAUAUAUCGUAGUUUAAUAGAAAUUUAAAAUGUAAAAAAAAUUAUAGUAUAAAAUAUAUAAUAUUUUAUUUUUAUUUAAUAUUAUUAAUAUGAAAUACGAUUUUUUAUCGAAUCAGCCAAUAAAUUAAUAUACAUUUAUUUGUUGUAUAGAUGAAAAAAUAAAAAUAUUGAAUAUCUCAAAUAACUUACGAUAAAUAGAUUAAUAUAUAAUUUUUAUAAAAAUCAUAAAAAAGAUAAUUUUACAUAAAAAAUUGUAAUAUUUUAUUUGAUUUAAUAUUAUUAAUAUAAAAUUUUAUAUAUUAAAAAUAUAUACAUAAUUUAUAAUAAUAAAUAUAAAUUUUCAAUAAAAUACUUUAAUAUAUAAUAUUUUAUAUAAUAAAAAUUUAUUUGUAAUCAUUAUUUAUUUAAUAUUAUAUAUAAUAAAUAUAAAAUAAAAAUGUUCUUUCAAUAUAAAUUUUAAAUUAAAGGAUUAUAUAUUUAUUAAUAUAAAAACUUUAAGUAUUAUAUUAUAAUUUAUCAAUAACUUUUCAAAUUCAAUUUAAUACUCUGACAAAGUUUGAAUUUUUUUUCAAUAACCCUUAAAAUUAUAAAUUAUAUAAUUACCCCAAGACUUUCUCUCUGGUUGAUAGAGAGAAGUUUUUCACUUAACAAGGGUGAGUAUAUAGUGAUGCCAUAACAUUGGUGGAGUGAGAUAUAUAAUCCUAACUUGAAAAUUCUACAAUAAUAUAUAUGAUUUGAGUGACAAGAUAUUAAACUCAAAGCUGAUCGUAGUUAUUUUAGUCCAUACCAUACAUCACACGUACGAUCAUAUAGUGUCUAGCUAGAUGUUAUAUUCUUUACCCAGCCAUCCCUCUCGAACAUCUCUUGGGUAUCACAUUCAAAGGUAUAAGUUUUCGAACAGAUAUCCCAACCUUUUCUCUCAUAUCUAAGGUCUCAUGGGUUGAAUCUUUGUCAAGUUCCCAAUUAAAACAGUGAAUUAAAGAUGCUAGACCAAGGAGAAUUACUCUUUGAGCAAAUAACAUACCUACACAAAUCCUCCUUCCUGAUCCAAAUGGAAUUAGCUCAAAAUUUUGCCCCUUGUAGUCAAUGUUUAAACCUAAAAACCUCUCAGGCUUGAAGCUCAAGGGAUCUUCCCAAGAAUCUGGAUCUCUUCCUAUUGCCCAUGCAUUCACUAAAACUUGAGUAUCUUUAGGUACAUCGUACCCAACGAACUUUGUGUCUUGUAUUGUGUUUCUUGGAAGGAGCAAAGGAAGUGGGGGAUGUAAUCUAAGUGUUUCCUUCACGACAACUUGCAAAUAUGGUAGUUUCUCUAUGUCACUCUCUUCAACAUUUCUGUUUUCUCCAACAACUUCAAUGAGUUCUUCUUUAACCUUUCUCAUGGCUUCAGGUUGACGAAGUAACUCUGCCAUGGCCCAUUCUAUUACUGUACUCGUAGUCUCUGACCCAGCAAAAAACAUUUCCUUCAACGUCAGACAAAACCAAGAAUAAUUAGUUAAUUAGCCUUUAUUAUUGUGCUUUGCAAAUUAGCAAUUACAAGACAUAAUACAAAAUCUUCAAGUAAUGCAAGUAUAUGCUUACCAAUACGAGUAUGAUGAGCCUUUCAUAUGGGAUCUUCUCAUGCCAAUCUUUGCCAUCACCUUCAAAUUCCAACAAAGUGUCUAAGAAGUCCUUACUAGCUUUCUCCUUAUCCCCAAAUUUGUAUUCCUCAAUCCUUUCUUUCACAAACCCUUCAACAAUCUCCAAAGCUCGUCCCAUAUCUCUCGUCAUGUUUCUCUUUAGUCCUUGUGGAUCUAACCAUUUCAAGAAUGGAAAAAAAUCUGCUAAAUUUGGCUUCCCAGCCCACACUGAAACCAUUCCCAUAGCUUGAAAAAAUUCAUACCCUUCUUUACACUGUGAAUCCACAACGUCUCUCGAGAGCAUAAGGUUACCAACUAUGUUGAAUGACAUUAGGAAGAGAUAGUGAGGUAAAUUCACUACCCCUGACUCUCCCCUUGCAGUUGCAGCUGCUGUAUCAUCUUCAAUACUCCUGAACAUCAAAGCAAUGGUAGUAUCACUAUUUCAAUCUAACUUCAUACAAAAAUACUAUAUCUAUAAACAGGAUUCAAAAGUCAGUGGUUACCUAAUCAUCUGGAGGAUGCACUUCCGCCGAAUGGAAGCUGUAUCAUUGACUCGCUUGACGGUCAUCAUUUCCACCGAGCAAAGACGCCUAAUCAUACGCCAGUAGGGGCUAAACUGGCCAACAGCAAGUGACCCAUCUCUGUAGUUAAGACAGUUAAAUACUUCAAGAGACUUACGGUCACAGAAGCUGGUAUCGUGAUUCUUAAGCAGCUCAGCCGCAGUCUUAGCUGAUUGUAUCACAACUGUAUCCAUGGAUCCUAGUCUGAGCCAGAGAACAGGUCCAUACUUAAACUUAAGCUCCUCUAAAGCUUGGUGUGGUGCAAUUCCUAGAUCAAAAAUAUUGCCCAAGAUUGGCCAACCUGGAGGCCCUGGAGGCAAAUUCUUGGUUCCUUGUCCCAAAAUUUUCCCUCUCCGGCAUACAAUCACAGCCAAAGAUAAGAACAAACUUGCCCAAACAAGGAAACCGCAGAUGAACUCCAUUAUUUCUCUUGAGUUCAAAGACUGCCCGUUCUAGUCGUUGUUCUAUGCUUCUGUUUUAUAUUCUCACGUAGGAAUAUAAUAUUGCAAUUAGUCAUAUUUUUGCGGCCACUGUUCUUACACAUGCUUGUUUGGAGGGUUGAAUAAAAAUCAAAUUGGGUCUGUGGAAUUCAAUUACUGCUUUUUAGAGAAAUUAGUUUUAAAUUUUUAUUUUACUAUUUUUAUUAAAAAAUUUAGAAAUCUUUUGUAUUUUUAUAAACAUUUCUUAAAUAUAAUAUAUAAUCUAUAGAAUUUUUUUCAAAAUAAUUUACAAUAUUAUAUGUUAAAAAAAGAAGAGAAAUUUAUUUUUUUAGAAGCCCAAAUAGGAUACGCUCAAAAUACCAAAUCUAAUUAAACUGAAUUAUAUAUAAUUUGAUUGGAUUCAUUCAAUUAAAUAAAUAUUAUUACUUAAUUUAUUUUUUAAUUAUUUAUAUCGAAUUCAGUUUGAAAGAGUCUUAUUUAAUUUCAAUAUGAUCACUUAUUAAUUAUUAUUUUUCUAAAUAAAUAUUUAAAAUAUCUUUCAUAUUUAACAAAAUUAAAUAUUAAAUAUUUUUUAAAUGGAUAUAAUUAGAGGGGAGUAUUCGGUCGGUUCGGUUCAAAAUCAAAUCGAAUCGAAUAAAUUGAAAAUCAAAAUUUUUAGUAUUUAUGAAAACUGAAUCGAACUGAUUUUGAUCAGAAAUCAAAUCAAAUCGAACCAGUCUGAUUCGAUUCGAUUUGAUUCGGUUUGAUCAGUUUAAAUUUUUAAUAAAUUUUUUAUUUACACUUUAUUUUUAUUUUUAGUAUUUUAAAAUUUAAGUAAAAUAUUUUAAUUUUAAUAUAAUUUAAUCUCUUUAUAUUAUUUAAAAUAAUAUAUUAUUAUCACUAAUCGUUUCGAUUUUUUUAAUUUUGUUAUUAAAUUUGAAUCGAAUUAAAAUAACUAAAAUUUUUAAAAUUAAAUAUUAAAUCAAAUUGAAAUGAAUAAAAAAUCAAAUCAAAUUUUUAAAUUAAUUUGAUUCGUUGAAUUUUUUCGAUUUAAAUCUAAUACUGCUCACCCUUAAAUAUAAUUUAAAAAUUAAUAAAAUAUUAUUUUUUAACAUUAAAAAAAUAAAAUAAAUAAAAAUUAUCAGAUAAAAAAUACUAACUUUAUAUAAAAAUAUCAAUUUUUUAUAUAAUAUAAAAUUAUGCAAUAUCAAAUAUAUAUACAUAUAUGUGGUGGCGGCUUUAGGAUUAAAAAAAUUGGAUAAAAGGCAAAGAUAAUGGAGUCCAUGAGAGCAAAUUGAAUGAUUCUAAACGAUAAGUUUUAAGAUGUUGAUGUUCCUAUUACAUUGACAUAUUGGGGGACCAUCGUCAUAAUCAUGCUUCAUAGUUAGACUUUAAUUUAGAUAUAUUAUGGCUCACACAGUAUUGAACUCGAUAAUAAAUAUAUUUAAAUAAAUUUAAAAAAUUUAAAUUUUUAUUUUUUUAUUUUCAAUUUUCUUUAAAGAAAAAGAAAAUUUUAUUGUAAAAAAAAUAAUUAUUUUAUUUAUUUAUUUCUACAAAAUUAAUUAUUUCUUUUUCUUAUCUCAAAAAAAUACAUUGUUAAUAACUCAAAAAAAAAAUUUUCAAAUUUUCUUUUAUUAAAACUUAUUCUGGUUAACAAUCAUUUUGCAUUCUAUCCAAACACUCCCUUAUAAUGAAGGCCAAGUAAAAGCCAAACCCAUGAUUAAGAAAUCAAAACUCCAAAGACAAUAUCAUACUUCAAUCAAAUACAGACAAAAACACACAUAUAGGCAUCACAAAAGAAGGUGAUGCCUUUUGUUCUGUGCAUUAUUUUGUGGGGAAACUUUUGGCUGCAUCAGAGAGUAUUACACUAAAUUAAUGGGUGAGUCUCAAUUGGCUUAAGCAAUUGAGUCUUAUUAUUAUUAACUUCAUUUUGGGUGUCCUUUCGAAAGGCUAGCCUCACGAGCAGCUGUAAACUUGGCAAUGAGCUUGUCCCUAGGUGGCCAGCUUUCUUGGAUUGUUGGGAUAUUGGAGAAUUCCUGCAUCCAAGAAGUUAACACUGGGAAUUUUUGCUGGUUUAUUAGUUUUACUGUGCUAUUACUGUUGCUUAUUCUUCUUCUCCCAUGGCUGAUUUCAUACCACCAACUACUUAUCAGCUAGGCUAACCCACUCCCUUCUUUAAAACCAAUUCCCUGCACUCCGCUCCUUUAAUUUUUUUAAAAAAAUUACUUUUAAAUUCUUGAAUUUAAAAAAAAAAUAGUCCACAUCUAUUUCAAAAUCACUCACGUCCUUUAUUUUGUAAAAUCAAACCUUUUAAUAUUUUUUAAAAAAAAUCAUUAGUCAAUUUAUUAACUUUAAUUAAAAAGAUUAAAAGGUAUGAAUGUUUAAAAUUAUAAAAACUAAAUAAUAUAUGAUGAUCUGAAAUCCAAUACAAUAGGGUUUUACAAGGGCUUUUGUACUCAAGAAGAACUCUCUCCUCUCUCUAGAGGGGUAUCCCUUUUAUCCUUUUCUUCCUGCCUACUGAUGACGUAUAACGGCUCUCCCCUUAUUGGACCACGCGUCUCUGCCACACAGAUAUGGGCGUACGAGAAAAUCAGGCGCCUGCUCCAUGCGUAACAGCCUCUGAUUCUCCCCCGUGCGUACACUCGAACGGAUCUGCCAGGCUGUAUGACGAGUCUCGUUCUGGAUUCUGGGCCGGGCCGUAAGCUGGGCUGGACGCUGAACCUUGGAGAAGAAGGAAUCCGUGGGGAGGUUGUAUGGGCUGGGCCGAUCUCGAUGAGGGAGAAUCUGGUGGAGUCCGGCCUCAAGGAUCUGGUGGUCCGGGCCUGUUUUACUUGAGAAGGCGUGCGGGCCUUCCUUUCAUGGGCCAUGGCCAUAAUCUAGGCCCAGGAUUGGGGGUAGAGAAAUCCAGCGGUCAUCAAUAUAUAUAAUUAAAAUUAGAUUUAUUGGAUAAAAAAAUUUAAACAUUCACUAUUUUUUAUAUUUAUAUUCUAACCUUAAAAUCUUGUAUAAUAAAAUCAAUUCUUUCAUAUUUAUCUCAAUUUUAGCUAUUUAUGUUAAUCAAUUUUGAUAAAAGAAAUUUAUUACACUCUCAUGCCACAUAAAAUUAUUUCUUAAAAGACUUAUUGAAUAAAAAAAUUCAAAUAUUUAUGUUAAUUUAUAUUUAUAUUCAAAACUUUAAAAUUUAAAUAAUAAAAUUAAAAUUUUUUAAUUUAUCAUAAUUAUAAUAAAAAAAUAAAUUGAAUUUGAAAAUUUUAUGUUAAAUUAUAAUAUAUUUCUUAAAUUUUUAUUUAACUAAUAAAACAGUUCUUAAAAUAUAUAUUUUUAUUUUAAUAAUAAUUUUUUUUAUUAAAUCCAUUAUUUACUUUUCAUUUUCAUUUUUAUACAUGCAUAGUAGUUUAAUAAAAAUUUAAAAUGUUAAAAAAUUAUAAUAUAAAAUAUAUAAUAUUUUAUUUUUAUUUAAUAUUAUUAAUAUAAAGUACAAUUUUUUAUCGGAUCAGAUAAUAAAUUAAUAUACAUCACAAAUUUACUUAUUAUACAGAUAAGAAAAUAAAAAUAUUAAAUAUUUUAAAUAACUUAUAAUAAAUAUAAUUAAUAUAUCUAAAUUUUUAUGAAAAUCAUAAAAGGAAUAAUUUUACAUACUAAAAAAUGUAAUAUUUCAUUUGAAUUAAUAUUAUUAAUAUAAAAUUCAUAUAUUAAAAAUAUAUGCAUAAUUUAUAAUAGUGAAUAUAAAUCUUCAAUAAAUUAUUUUAAUAUAUAAUAUUUACAUGUGAUAUUUUACAUAGUGAAAAUUUAUUUAUAAUAAUUAUUUAUUUAGUAUUACAUAUGAUAAAUAUAAAAUAAAAAUAUACUUUUAAUAUAAAUUUUAAAUUAAAGAACUAUAUAUUUAUUAAUAUAAAAACUUUAAGAACAAUAACUUUUCAAAUUCAAUUUUAUACCUCAAUUAAAAUUAUGAUAAAAGUUUGAUUUUUUUUUCCAAUAACCCUUAGAAUUAUAAAUUAUAUAAUUACCCCAAGACUCUCUCUGGUUGAUAGAGAGAAAGAGAUAUAUAAUCCUAACUUGAAAAUUCUACAAUAAUAUAUAUGAUUUGAGUGACAAGAUAUUAAACUCAAAGCCAGUCGUAGUUAUUUUAAUCCAUACCAUACAUCACACAACCAUAUAGUAUCUAGCUAGAUGUUACAUUCUUUAGCCAGCCAUCACUCCCGAACAUCUCUUGGGUAUCACAUUCAAAGGUAUAAGUUUUCGAACAGAUAUCCCAACCUUUUCUCUCAUAUCUAAAGUCUCAUGGGUUGAAUCCUUAUCAAGUUCCCAAUUAAAACAGUGAAUUAAAGAUGCUAGACCAAGGAGAAUUACUCUUUGAGCAAAUAACAUACCUACACAAAUCCUCCUUCCUGAUCCAAAUGGAAUUAGCUCAAAAUUUUGCCCCUUGUAGUCAAUGUUUAAACCUAGAAACCUCUCAGGCUUGAAGCUCAAGGGAUCUUCCCAAGAAUCUGGAUCUCUUCCUAUUGCCCAUGCAUUCACUAAAACUUGAGUAUCUUUGGGUACAUCGUACCCAACGAACUUUGUGUCUUGUAUUGUGUUUCUUGGCAGGAGCAAAGGAAGUGGGGGAUGUAACCUAAGUGUUUCCUUCACAACAACUUGCAAAUAUGGUAGUUUGUCUAUGUCACUCUCUUCAACAUUUCUGUUUUCUCCAACAACUUCAAUGAGUUCUUCUUUCACCUUUCUCAUGGCUUCAGGUUGACGAAGUAACUCUGCCAUGGCCCAUUCUAUUACUGUACUCGUAGUCUCUGACCCAGCAAAAAACAUUUCCUUCAACGUCAGACAAAACCAAGAAUAAUUAGUUAAUUAGCCUUUAUUAUUGCGCUUUGCAAAUUAGCAAUUACAAGACAUUAUACAAACUCUUCAAGUAAUGCAAGUAUAUGCUUACCAAUACGAGUAUGAUGAGUCUUUCAUAUGGGAUCUUCUCAUGCCAAUCUUUGCCAUCACCUUCAAAUUCCAACAAAGUGUCUAAGAAGUCCUUACUAGCUUUCUCCUUAUCCCCAAAUUUGUAUUCCUCAAUCCUUUCUUUCACAAACCCUUCAACAAUCUCCAAAGCUCGUCCCAUAUCUCUCGUCAUGUUUCUCUUUAGUCCUUGUGGAUCUAACCAUUUCAAGAAUGGAAAAAAAUCUGCUAAAUUUGGCUUCCCAGCCCACACUGAAACCAUUCCCAUAGCUUGAAAAAAUUCAUACCCUUCUUUACACUGUGAAUCCACAACGUCUCUCGAGAGCAUAAGGUUACCAACUAUGUUGAAUGACAUUAGGAAGAGAUAGUGAGGUAAAUUCACUACCCCUGACUCUCCCCUUGCAGUUGCAGCUGCUGUAUCAUCUUCAAUACUCCUGAACAUCAAAGCAAUGGUAGUAUCACUAUUUCAAUCUAACUUCAUACAAAAAUACUAUAUCUAUAAACAGGAUUCAAAAGUCAGUGGUUACCUAAUCAUCUGGUGGAUGCACUUCCGCCGAGUGGAAGCUGUAUCAUUGACUCGCUUGACUGUCAUCAUUUCCACCGAGCAAAGACGCCUAAUCAUACGCCAGUAGGGGCUAAACUGGCCAACAGCAAGUGACCCAUCUCUGUAGUUAUGACAAUUAAAUACUUCAAGAGACUUACGGUCACAGAAGCUGGUAUCGUGAUUCUUAAGCAGCUCAGCCGCAGUCUUAGCUGAUUGUAUCACCACUGUAUCCAUGGAUCCUAGUCUGAGCCAGAGAACAGGUCCAUACUUAAACUUAAGCUCCUCUAAAGCUUUGUGUGGUGCAAUUCCUAGAUCAAAAAUAUUGCCCAAGAUUGGCCAACCUGGAGGCCCUGGAGGCAAAUUCUUGGUUCCUUGUCCCAAAAUUUUCCCUCUCCGGCAUAGAAUCACAGCCAAAGAUAAGAACAAACUUGCCCAAACAAGGAAACCGCAGAUGAACUCCAUUGUUUCUCUUGAGUUCAAAGACUGCCAGUGCUAGUCGUUGUUCUAUGCUUCUGUUUUAUAUUCUCACGUAGGAAUAUAAUAUUGCAACUAGUCAUAUUUUGCAGCCACUGUUCUUAAACAUGCUUUUUUGGAGGGUUGAAUAAAAAUCAAUUUGGUUCUGUGGAAUUCAAUUACUGCUUUUUAGAAAAAUUAGUUUUAAAUUAAUAUUUUACUAUUUUUAUUAAAAAAUUUAGAAAAUUUGUGUCGAAUUCAAUUACUAUUUUUAUUUUACUAUUUUUAUUAAAAAAUUUAGAAAAAUUAUUUUUUAAUUAUUUAUGUCGAAUUCAGUCUGAAAUAGUCUUAUUUAUUUCUUACCCCUAAAUAUAAAAUAGAUAUUCUCUAUGUUACACAUUUUAAAACUAGUAAAUUAACUUAAACAAAUUUAAAGUGUUUUUUUAUUUAUUUAAAAUAUUUCAAAAUUUUUAAAUAAAUUCAUGAAAUUAUCUGUCUCAUAAUUUUUAUUCAUUCUUUAUUUUUUAAUUAUUUUAAAAUUAUUAUCCACUUUUCUUUUUUAUAUUAUAAUUAAUAUAUAAAUUAAUUAUUAUAAUCUUAUUUAAUUUUAUCUUAUUUUUAAUAUAAUUUCUUAUUAAUAUUUUAUUUUUCUAAAUAAAUAUUCAAAAUAUCUAUUUAAAAUAGAUAUAAUAAAAAAUUAUUUUUUAAUAUAUUUAAAAAAAUAAAAUAAAUAAAAAUUAUAAAAAUAUUAAUUUUAUAUAAAAUAUCAAUUUUUUAUAUAAUAUAAAAUUAUGCAAUAUCAAAUAUAUAUAUAUAAGGUGGCGACAUUAGGAAUAAAAAAUUGGAUAAAAGGAAAAGAUAAUGGAGGCCAUGAGAGCAAAUUCAAUGAGUCCAAAAUGGAAAGUUUAAAGAUGUUGAUAAUUAAUCACAUAGAUUCAUUGAAUGACAGACAUUGAUGUUCUUAUUACAUUGACAUAUUGUGGGAGACAGAAAUUGUGGGACCAUUGUCAUAAUCAUGCUUCAUAGUUUAGUCAUAAAUUUAGGUAUAUUUGACUUUAGGAAAAAUAAUUGUUUUAUUUAUUUAUUUCUACAAAAUUAAUUAUUUCAUUUUCUUAUCUCCAAAAAAUACAUUAUUAAUUACUAAAAAAAAUUUCAAAUUUUCUUUUAUUAAAAUUUAUUCUGGUUAACAAUCAUUUUGCAUUCUAUCCAAACACUCCCUUAUAAUGAAGGCCAAGUAAAAGCCAAACCCAUGAUUAAGAAAUCAAAACUCCAAAGACAAUAUCACACUUAGUCAAUCAAAUACAGACAAAAACACACAUAUAGGCAUCACAAAAGAAGGUGAUGCCUUUUGUUCUGUGCAUUAUUUUGUGGGGAAACUUUUGGCUGCAUCAGAGAGUAUUACACUAAAUUAAUGGGUGAGUCUCAAUUGGCUUAAGCAAUUGAGUCUUAUUAUUAUUAACUUCAUUUUGGGUGUCCUUUGGAAUGAGCUUGUCCCUAGGUGGCCAGCUUUCUUGGAUUGUUGGGAUAUUGGAGAAUUCCUGCAUCCAAGCAGUUAACACUGGGAAUUUUUGCUGGUUUAUUAGUUUUACACCACUUACCUCUUCAUAUAUUUCAAGAUAAUAAGCAAGCCACCCUAAUGCAAG
rnacentral:lncRNA from 1 species